UACGGAGGAUGCGAGCGUUAUCCGGAUUUAUUGGGUUUAAAGGGUGCGUAGGCGGGCUGUUAAGUCAGCGGUAAAAGCCCGGGGCUCAACCCCGGCGAGCCGUUGAAACUGGCUGUCUUGAGAUGUCGAGAGGUAUGCGGAAUGCGCAGUGUAGCGGUGAAAUGCUUAGAUAUUGCGCAGAACUCCGAUUGCGAAGGCAGCCUUCCGGCGCCCUACUGACGCUGAGGCACGAAAGUGUGGGGAUCGAACAGG
rnacentral:rRNA from 1 species